CCUAAUUAAUUCAACUCUCAACUAAACAUAUGUCAUUCAGAAUGGUAAAAUACAGGACAAUAGAAGGAAUACAACUAUAAACUAAUGGUACAGUAGCAAAACACUUAGAACUCUAAACUUUUAUUUCUAUAUAUUCAAUCAAGUGUCACAUUGUGUGAGUAUCAAGAGUGUGUACCUAGAUACAUCCAAAAUAAUUACAAAACUCAGCAACUGAAGGGGCAAUUUCAGCAGUAUUUAACCAGCAAAACAACCAGUAAAAUCGGCUUAACAAUCAAUGAUGUGCAACAAACGAAUUCAAUUACACAGCAGACUUGGAGAUGAUUUUGCAAACUAAUUUCAAGCCGUUUUUAUACUCAGAUGCGACAAAAUUAUUUCAGGAAAAAAGAGUUCAAAAUCACCGAUGAUCUAAUGAAACAGUAAAAUUAUAUUUCUGUGUGUGCAUUGGAG
rnacentral:lncRNA from 1 species